UACGAAGGGUGCAAGCGUUACUCGGAAUUACUGGGCGUAAAGCGUGCGUAGGUGGUGAGUUAAGUCUGUCGUGAAAGCCCCGGGCUCAACCUGGGAAUGGCGAUGGAUACUGGCUCGCUAGAGUGCGGUAGAGGAGAGUGGAAUUCCCGGUGUAGCAGUGAAAUGCGUAGAGAUGUGGAGGAACACCGAUGGCGAAGGCAGCCUUCUGGGCCAACACUGACGCUCAUGCACGAAAGCGUGGGGAGCAAACAGG
rnacentral:rRNA from 1 species